CGUCUCAGAGUUUCUCAUGGAAGAAGACCAAAGCAGCUCCAGGGCCAGCUAACGUUGCAGCUUCAUAUAAGAGGGCACAGGAAGGUAUAAUAAGACUCUGUAGAUGCAGGUUGAAACCAGACGAGUUCAGACUACAAAUUAAGUGAAAGCAUUUUUGCCUAUCAAUGAAGAUCACACUCCCUGCUGGCUUUUCCUGUGAAAUCUCUCAAGCAGAGCUCCCAUCUGCCUACAACGCUUUGCGGAGGGGCCAGGACCUCCAAUUUCUGGAUUCAAGGACUGGGGCUCUUGCUGCUCUCGCCUUCUUCCAGAAGAGGAGGUUUGCCAGGCCACCUCUGCCAUGCAGGACUUGCUGAUCAUGAGCAAGACUGUGUGCUCUCCUAAUCCUUAGGCCAGAUUGGAUUGGGCUCUGGGCAACCUGAUGAAAUGGGUGGCAACCCUGUCCAUGGCAGGGGAGUUGGAACUGGACGGUCUUUAAGGUCCCUUCGAACUCAAACUGUUAUAUGAUUCUAUGAUUACAUGAUUCUAUGAGUCUACGAUUGUCAUCCACCCUGGGGAACCUAAGGGCAGUGCAGAAACAAAGCAUUAAAGGACCUGGAGAUGCUCAUUGCUGAAAGUGAGGCAGUUAUUGAAAUGCUUUGCUGAAUCAAAGCCCUUGGACUCUUUCAACAAAUAGUCAGAUAUCGUUGUCUCAUGUGGCACUUGGCUGCAACCUGUACAGCCUGUUUCUCUGAAGAGCUAUAAUGAGAAAGUCGUAGUGUACCAAGUAGGAGAUAAAAGAAUAAAUCUCAAAGUUUACCUUUGCUUUGCUUUAAUUUCUUCUGUUGUCAUCAAAGAGAUGACAAAAGUUGUUCUUAGGGAAUUUAAAUAUUAAUACAGGCUAAAAUGCAGGUGAAACCAACAACAAGGGAAACAUUUUACUAAUCUAUAAACUAGACAGAGUAAUCUACCAACUGGGAAUAAUGCUAAGUAGGCACUUUAAGUUACUGUGCGGAAUGAGUUUGAUCAAUUCACUCCAAGCCACAUUAGUCUCAUAAAAGCUGAGAGUAGCAUUUUCUCCCAAGGGUUUCCUUUGAGGGAUAUUCCUCUCAGAGUGCAGUAUCACAGGGGCAAUUAAGGAUGAUAAUGUUUUUUGCAUAUACUAAGCAAUUGACUAGUCAACAUUGAUCAAGAUAGGCUUUCGUCAUUUUUUAAAAUGCUCUUCCAAGUUCACAGUACAGUUGCUGUCUGAGAUAACAGACGCAGUAGUGAGUAGUUAGUAUUAUUAUACCAUGACUCUGUGAAGUAUUUUAGACAAGCAAAUAGCUUCCAGGAAGCUAGUAGGAAAAAAUAGUGUUCUCAUUAAUAGUGUGUGUGUGCGCUCUUGGCCAGGUGGAAAAGAAAAUGCUUGGAAAUAUUAUGGAUUUUUCUGGCAUCAGUGGCAUAUUCUCACUCUUCCCUCCCAGAUAAAUUGGCAUUAAUGCUCCCAGUCUCAAUGAUGACUACAAGCUCAUUACAGAUGCUGCUUUGCUUGUACAUCAUUACUGUCCCACAAGAAUGCAAUGUAUUGCCUAGAAAGGAUUUCUGGAUGUUUUCCCUGAUAUAAAAUCACAGAGGCUUAUAUUUAGUCCUUUCCCUGAUGACAAUCCUACCUGCAUAUAUUCUCUCUCUUUCUUUCUCACAGACGUACACACGCUUGACUUUGAACUCUGACAUUUAUCUCAUGACAUAAAUUCUUUCAAUUAACCAACACAAUGCAUUAGUGUAAUCAUUAGUCCUAGCCUGCAUUCUCCUUUGGAAUAGCUAAGCAGAGUUGUAGUAAUGUUGUCACGAUGCAUAUUGUAUACAAAAUUUGAAACUAGGAUGGAAAGUGUUAUUGGUGAAGGUCUUGUUAUGGUAAUGUCCUUGCUCCAAGGUUAUUUACAUAAAAAGCUGUCUUGUCUUUGUAAGAAUCGUGCUUGCCUCUGUGCUUCCAGCAUAACAACACUAUGCAUUACCUUUCUCUCUGAAGGAUGAUGGUGCCUUCUGUUUAUAAACUUUCUGCCCAUUAGGACAAUUUAAGCCUUAAAACAAGUGAAACGGUACAUUCAGGGUGACCUUGGGAGUGCAGGGCCAUAAAAUGAAAACAGAAAAUCCAGCAUGAUUAGAAGCAGCUCAGUUCUGGGCUCAUUUGCAUAUUUUAGACUUUUUCAUUCUCUAGACACCAAACUACUGUGUGAUACAAUGUUAACUAAGGCUUGGCAAAUCCCUGGUAGCACCCAGACAUGUGCAGUCCAGAAGAGAGUAAUAACUCCCAUCAUGUUCCUAACAACGAAGUUCAACUUAGCCAAGGUAAUUUUUUUCCUCAUGAAAUAUGAGGGGACCCAGAAGGAUCUGGCAAUGUGACCAAGCACCAUGGAAUCACAAGGCAGGACUUCCACCAACAUUCCUCAUUGGUCAGUUCCAAAUGGUCUGUGUUAAGUACUACGCUAACUCCCAGCACCUGAGUGCCCAAACAGCUCCUGGGUUGUGGCAGGAGCAGACCAUACACCGGCCUUGUUGCUUUGGUGACAGGGAGACAAGACAUCAUUCUUCACAGUUACCGGAGCAAGGAUUCUUAGAGCAGCAGCGUUCGUAUCUCCUGUCCUGACUCUUUGCAAGGGCAGCCUGAGUCCUCAUUAGGACCAUGACUCUUCAGAGCAAAGAUCUCUGCUGCUGAAGAGGGAGAUACCAUUAAUUAAAUGAGCACUCACUGAUGGAUGGUACUGAAUUAUGGUAGUUUUAUCACUGAAACCAUAGAAUCAUUGAAUGGCUUGAGUUAGAAGGGACCUUAAAGAUCACCUAGUUCCAAUCCACUAAUGAUAUUUUAUAAGAAGUUCUCGACAGUCUUUUCUAGACAAUCCAGCAUUGUUUCUAGCAU
ensembl:lncRNA